rnacentral:rRNA from 1 species
AACGAACGCUGGCGGCGUGGAUAAGACAUGCAAGUCGAACGGGAACUUCAGCUGUAGCAAUACAGUUGAAGUUUUAGUGGCGAACGGGUGCGUAACACGUGGGCAAUCUGCCGAGAAGUGGGGGAUAGCUCGCCGAAAGGCGAAUUAAUACCGCAUAUGAUCAGCUAAGACAUCUUAGCGACAUCAAAGCCGGGGCAACCUGGCGCUUUUUGAGGAGCCCGCGGCCUAUCAGCUAGUUGGUGAGGUAACGGCUCACCAAGGCUAUGACGGGUAGCUGGUCUGAGAGGACGACCAGUCACACUGGAACUGAGACACGGUCCAGACACCUACGGGUGGCAGCAGUCGAGUAAUUUUUCUCAAUGGGGAAACCCUAGAAGGAGCGACGCCGCGUGGAGGAUGAAGGUCUUCGGAUUGUAAACUCCUGUCAUUGGUGAACAAGGUA